rnacentral:rRNA from 1 species
UUGAACGCUGGCGGCAGGCCUAACACAUGCAAGUCGAGCGGUAACAGGUCGCUGAGAUUCCUUCGGGAUGAUCUUGAUGCUGACGAGCGGCGGACGGGUGAGUAACGCGUGGGAAUCUACCCAGUAGCGGGGGAUAGCCCGGGGAAACUCGGAUUAAUACCGCAUAAUCUCUUCGGAGCAAAGCAGGGGAUCUUCGGAUAGACCUUGCACUAUUUGAUGAGCCCGCGUUAGAUUAGCUAGAUGGUGGGGUAAAGGCUUACCACGGCGACGAUCUAUAGCUGGUCUGAGAGGAUGAUCAGCCACACUGGGACUGAGACACGGCCCAGACUCCUACGGGAGGCAGCAGUGGGGAAUAUUGCACAAUGGGGGAAACCCUGAUGCAGCCAUGCCGCGUGUGUGAAGAAGGCUCUAGGGUUGUAAAGCACUUUAAGCGGGGAGGAAAGGGUAAUGGUUAAUAGCCAUUAUCUGUGACGUUACCCGCAGAAUAAGCACCGGCAAACUCCGUGCCAGAAGCCGCGGUAAUACGGAGGGUGCGAGCGUUAAUCGGAAUUACUGGGCGUAAAGCGCGCGUAGGCGGCCUGAUAAGUUGGAUGUGAAAGCCCUGGGCUCAACCUAGGAACUGCAUUCAAAACUGUCAGGCUAGAGUAUGGUAGAGGAUAGUGGAAUUUCCGGUGUAGCGGUGAAAUGCGUAGAGAUCGGAAGGAAUAUCAGUGGCGAAGGCGGCUAUCUGGACCAAUCCUGACGCUGAGGUGCGAAAGCGGGGGGAGCAAACAGGAUUAGAUACCCUGGUAGUCCACGCCGUAAACGAUGUCAACUAGCCGUUGGGGGGCUUGUCCCCUUAGUGGCGCAGCUAACGCGAUAAGUUGACCGCCAGGGGAGUACGGCCGCAAGGUUAAAACUCAAAUGAAUUGACGGGGGCCCGCACAAGCGGUGGAGCAUGUGGUUUAAUUCGACGCAACGCGAAGAACCUUACCACCCCUUGACAUCCUCAGAACUUUCUAGAAAUAGAUUAGUGCCUUCGGGAACGCAGUGACAGGUGCUGCAUGGCUGUCGUCAGCUCGUGUCGUGAGAUGUUGGGUUAAGUCCCGUAACGAGCGCAACCCUUGUCCUUAUUUGCCAGCACGUAAUGGUGGGAACUCUAAGGAGACUGCCGGUGAUAAACCGGAGGAAGGUGGGGACGACGUCAAGUCAUCAUGGCCCUUACGGGUAGGGCUACACACGUGCUACAAUGGCCGGUACAAAGGGCUGCGAGACCGCGAGGUGGAGCGAAUCCCAUAAAACCGGUCGUAGUCCGGAUUGGAGUCUGCAACUCGACUCCAUGAAGUCGGUAUCGUUAGUAAUCGUGAAUCAGAAUGUCACGGUGAAUACGUUCCCGGGCCUUGUACACACCGCCCGUCACAUC